ACUUUCCAUACUCCGAAGGCGUACGAGACCGCGGAGAGCCAGCCGGCCACCGAGAGGAAGAGGAGCAGUUUGCGCGGAGUGGUCCUCAAAUCCGCCAAACUAAAGUCCAGUGAUUCAAGCGGAACACAUCAGUCAGAGUUGAGGCAUCGCUAUACAAACAACAGCAGCGGUGGAUGACGAAGGUCCACCAAAUUUAGCAUGUGGCUGUUGAUCAUCGUAAGGACAACUAAGGGCAACAAGAAAAUUGAUCACUGCAGCAGCAUAGUCGAGACUGAGGAGAAUAAUACUGCAAUGGGCAGAGCUGAGGCCCAGCCACAAGUCAAGGCAUGUUCCUGCACAGCAGCCGGCCUGGUGCACGAGGCUGCUCCUAGACCAGAAGGGGAGGAACAGAGCUGUGAGGGGAGGGUAGUCCAAAAGGCCCAGCAUGACUCAGCCUGCUUGAGUUGGUUUCCAUGCACCAUUUGAAUCUUUUUAUUUCUGCGCAGGACAUUAAGAUGAUACCUACCGGUAGCCUAUUUUUCAUGUCUGAACAAACAGAUCGGAUUUGUUGCAGAAAGCCAACGUAAUGAGCUUUGGACAGGUAUCGGCCAUAAAACUGAAUUCCUGUUUGCCUGCGGGCAAUGACCUUUUUGUCUUUUUUUUGUUUGACCAGGAAGAGAAAAGGCUUUCUGGUGCUAUCAUUUAACUGUAAAAGUAUUGUAAAUAUAUACAGGAAAGGCCAAAGUCGUUCACACACUUGUUCAAAUGUGGGAAAGUGAUUUAUGUUGAAUGGGUAUCUUUUGCUUGGAAGUAACACAGGAAAGUGUCAAAACGCUAAGAUGUGUUUGGAAAUACAGUAUUCAUGAAAAACAUGAUUAGCCUCAUUGAAUAACUGCAUAAAUAAUUUCUAAACUUACUGUCACAUAAUAAAUACUAACGUAAUUGCUAAAGGAAUUGUCUGUGUAGAUUGACAGCCAUCCACGUCACCAUAUUCUUCUGUUUGUUUUUCUUUUGUUUUUCCCAAACGUCAAAAACGUUCUCCGGUAAUUAUGUAAUUCGUCUAAUUUCAUUGUUGUAUUGAAGAUUACUCAUAUCAAUUUUUGGACCAUUUUGAGUCACCAUUUACAACAUUAUAUUGCCUGUAUUGAGGAAGUGAAUCAUUUUGGAUGUGCAACUUUUUUGUCAAAUUAAAAAGAAAAUACAGCUAUUUUAAUAAAUAUCUAUUAUUUAA